rnacentral:rRNA from 1 species
UAGGGGGCUAGCGUUGUCCGGAUUUAUUGGGCGUAAAGAGCGUGUAGGCGGCCAGGUAGGUCCGUUGUGAAAACUCGAGGCUCAACCUCGAGACGUCGGCGGAAACCCUCUGGCUAGAGUCCGGAAGAGGAGAGUGGAAUUCCUGGUGUAGCGGUGAAAUGCGUAGAUAUCGUAAGGAAGACCAGUGGCGAAGGCGGGUCUCUGGACAGUUCCUGACGCUGAGGCACGAAGGUCAGGGGAGCAAACGGG